CCACACCUAAAAAACUUUCCACGUGAACCGUUUCAACCCAAUAGUUGGGGGUCUUAUUUGGCGGCGGCUGCUGGCUUAAUUGUUGGCGGCUGCUGCUGAGUGAGCCCUAUCAAAAAAAAAGGCGAACGUUUGGGCUUCGGCCUGAUUUAGUAGUCUUUUUUCUUUUAAACCCAUUCCUUAAUACUGAAUAUACUGUGGGGACGAAAGUCUCUGCUUUUAACUAGAUAGCAACUUUCAGCAGUGGAUGUCUAGGCUCGCACAUCGAUGAAGAACGCUGCGAACUGCGAUACGUAAUGCGAAUUGCAGGAUUCAGUGAGUCAUCGAAAUUUUGAACGCAUAUUGCACUUCCGGGUUAGUCCUGGAAGUAUGCCUGUAUCAGUGUCCGUACAUUAAACUUGACUUUCUUCCUUCCGUGUAGUCGGUGGAGGAGAUGUCAGAUGUGAAGUGUCUUGCGAUUGGUCUUCGGACCGGCUGCGAGUCCUUUUAAAUGUACUAAACUGAACUUCUCUUUGCUCGAAAAGUGGUGGCGUUGCUGGUUGUGAAGGCUGCUAUUGUGGCAAAUUGGCGACUGGUUUGUCUGCUGCGGCAUUAAUGGAAGAGUGUUCGAUUCGUGGUAUGGUUGGCUUCGGCUGAACAAUGCACUUAUUGGACGUUUUUCCUGCUGUGGCGUGAUGGACUGGUGAACCAUAGCUCGGUGGCUUGGCUUUUGAAUUGGCUUUGCUGUUGCGAAGUAGGGUGGCAGCUUCGGUUGUCGAGGGUCGAUCCAUUUGGGAACUUAAUGUGUACUUCGGUAUGCAUCUCAA
rnacentral:rRNA from 1 species